UACAGAGGGGGCAAGCGUUGUUCGGAAUUACUGGGCGUAAAGGGCGCGUAGGCGGCCUGUUAAGUCGAACGUGGAAUCCCCGGGCUCAACCCGGGAACUGCGUCCGAUACUGGCAGGCUUGAAUCCGGGAGAGGGAUGCGGAAUUCCAGGUGUAGCGGUGAAAUGCGUAGAUAUCUGGAGGAACACCGGUGGCGAAGGCGGCAUCCUGGACCGGUAUUGACGCUGAGGCGCGAAAGCCAGGGGAGCAAACGGGG
rnacentral:rRNA from 1 species